UUCGCAAUGCCCGAAAGGGUGACGAAGCGACGCCGCGUGGGUGAGGAAGGCCUUCGGGUUGUAAAGCCCUGUCAGGAGUUAAGAAAUGUAAGUGCGCUAAUAUCGCAUUUAUUUGACAAAGGCUCCUAAGGAAGCCACGGCUAACUCUGUGCCAGCAGCCGCGGUAAUACAGAGGUGGCAAGCGUUGUUCGGAAUUAUUGGGCGUAAAGAGCACGUAGGUGGGUUUGUAAGUCAGAUGUGAAAGCCUUCUGUUCAACGGAAGAAUUGCAUCUGAAACUACAAGUCUUGAGUGUAGGAGGGGAGAAUGGAACUUCUGGUGGAGCGGUGAAAUGCGUAGAUAUCAGAAGGAACGCCGGCGGCGAAAGCGAUUCUCUGGCCUAUUACUGACACUGAGUGUGCGAAAGCUAGGGGAGCAAACGGGAUUAGAUACCCCGGUAGUCCUAGCCGUAAACGAUGGGCACUAAGUAGAGGGGUUUU
rnacentral:rRNA from 1 species